UGGGGAAUCUUGGACAAUGGGCGCAAGCCUGAUCCAGCCAUGCCGCGUGCAGGAUGACGGUCCUAUGGAUUGUAAACUGCUUUUGUACGGAACGAAAAGGCUCUUUCUAAUAAAGAGGGCCCAUGACGGUACCGUAAGAAUAAGCACCGGCUAACUACGUGCCAGCAGCCGCGGUAAUACGUAGGGUGCGAGCGUUAAUCGGAAUUACUGGGCGUAAAGCGUGCGCAGGCGGUUCUAUAAGACAGAUGUGAAAUCCCCGGGCUCAACCUGGGAAUGGCAUUUGUGACUGUAGAGCUAGAGUGUGUCAGAGGGGGGUAGAAUUCCACGUGUAGCAGUGAAAUGCGUAGAUAUGUGGAGGAAUACCGAUGGCGAAGGCAGCCCCCUGGGAUAACACUGACGCUCAUGCACGAAAGCGUGGGGAGCAAACAGGAUUAGAUACCCCCGUAGUCCCUGAGCGGGCUGGCAAGGCGCAU
rnacentral:rRNA from 1 species